CUCCUAUUUAAACCUGCUUCAGUGCUCUUCAUUGCGUGCUGUUGUAGGCCGGUACAAUUACUUUGAACAAAUUAGAGUGCUUAAAGCAGGCUCCAAAUGCCUGAAUAUUUUGUGCAUGGAAUAAUGAAAUAAGACCUCUGUUCUACUUUCAUUGGUUUUUAGAUCAAGAGGUAAUGAUUAAUAGAAGCAGUUUGGGGGCAUUAGUAUUACGACGCGAGAGGUGAAAUUCUUGGACCGUCGUAAGACUAACUUAAGCGAAAGCAUUUGCCAAAGAUGUUUUCAUUAAUCAAGAACGAAAGUUAGAGGUUCGAAGGCGAUCAGAUACCGCCCUAGUUCUAACCAUAAACGAUGCCAGCUAGCAAUUGGGUGUAGCUACUAUUAUGGCUCUCUCAGUCGCUUCCCGGGAAACCAAAGCUUUUGGGCUCCGGGGGAAGUAUGGUUGCAAAGCUGAAACUUAAAGGAAUUGACGGAAGGGCACCACCAGGAGUGGAGCCUGCGGCUUAAUUUGACACAACACGGGAAAACUUACCAGGUCCGAACAUAAGCGUGUAAGACAGAUUGAUAGCUCUUUCUCGAAUCUAUGGGUGGUGGUGCAUGGCCGUUCUUAGUUCGUGGAGUGAUUUGUCUGGUUAAUUCCGAUAACGAACGAGACUCAAAUAUAUUAAAUAGAUGCUUUCAGGAUUAUGGUGUUUGAAGCUUUUAUAGCCUUCAUUCAUGAAUGCAGUAACAUGUGUGAGUGUUUGAAUGUGUUUAUAAAGGUGGAGCCGUACCUGUUGGUUUGUCCCAUUAUAAGGACACUAGCUUCUUAAAUGGACAAAUUGCGUCUAGCAAUAAUGAGAUUGAGCAAUAACAGGUCUGUGAUGCCCUUAGAUGUCCUGGGCUGCACGCGCGCUACAAUGAAAGUAUCAACGUGUAUUUCCUAGACCGAGAGGUCCGGGUAAACCGCUGAACCACUUUCAUGCUUGGGAUUGUGAACUGAAACUGUUCACAUGAACUUGGAAUUCCCAGUAAGUGUGAGUCAUUAACUCGCAUUGAUUACGUCCCUGCCCUUUGUACACACCGCCCGUCGCUACUACCGAUUGAAUUAUUUAGUGAGGUCUCCGGACGUGAUCACUGUAACGCCUUGCGUGUUACGGAUGUUUCGCAAAAGUUGACCGAACUUGAUUAUUUAGAGGAAGUAAAAGUC
rnacentral:rRNA from 1 species